GGCAGGGUAGCUCAGUUGGUUAGAGCGCAGGACUCAUAAGCCUGAGGUCGCGAGUUCAAAUCUCGCCCCUGCUACCA
rnacentral:tRNA from 1 species